rnacentral:rRNA from 1 species
CCUACGGGGGGCUGCAGUGGGGAAUAUUGGACAAUGGGGGCAACCCUGAUCCAGCCAUGCCGCGUGUGUGAAGAAGGCCCUCGGGUUGUAAAGCACUUUCAGUGAGGAAGAACGCCUGGUGGUUAAUACCCAUCAGGAAAGACAUCACUCACAGAAGAAGCACCGGCUAACUCCGUGCCAGCAGCCGCGGUAAUACGGAGGGUGCGAGCGUUAAUCGGAAUUACUGGGCGUAAAGGGCGCGUAGGUGGCUUGAUAAGCCGGUUGUGAAAGCCCCGGGCUCAACCUGGGAACGGCAUCCGGAACUGUCAAGCUAGAGUGCAGGAGAGGAAGGUAGAAUUCCCGGUGUAGCGGUGAAAUGCGUAGAGAUCGGGAGGAAUACCAGUGGCGAAGGCGGCCUUCUGGACUGACACUGACACUGAGGUGCGAAAGCGUGGGUAGCAAACAGGAUUAGAUACCCUUGUAGUC